AACUUGGGCUGAGCUUAGGUG
rnacentral:miRNA from 1 species